GCUAAAACAACCUAUCCAGAUGCAUAUCUCGAUACCUGUUAUUCCGGUCGGUGCUUCUUUCAAGGGACAACCUCUGCUCGUGGUUCAUAUCUUGCUAGCUCUGUCCCAAGCUCCUCUUUCUAGUAGCCCUACUAAACCUAUGAGUUGACUCGUACAUACUCACUUAUUCUUUACUUAUCUUAUCUGUGACUGCAUAUUCCUAGCAUUGACCUAUUCAAUAUGUCUCUAUUGGCUAAACAAUAGCCCUUGUAAAAACAACUAUACCUGUCUCUGCCCGUGAAAACGAAAAAACAAAUCAACUACGGCUCCCUCAACGUACUCACUUGUUGACCUAUCCAGCUUAUCCAACUACUUGACCUAAACCAUAUGGAUAUACCGGUACUGCACCGUUACGCAAAAAUGAACUCCUUUUUAUAGUGGGCCUAUGUCUUGUAUCCGUUACUUGGUCGUUCAAAUCACACAACCCAUACCUAACUCCUGUUUAGAAACCUGUGCUUGCCAGCUUAUCCUUUUUAGAAAUAUGCCUAUUCCUUUCCCUGAGCAAGGUAUAUAGAGGUAGUCACUCAUUGCCAGAACUACUACUAAAUGCCAAUGCUAGUGCUAAGCUUCAAGUACUACUCAGAAAUCUUAUGCAUAGGAAAUCCUAUCUAUAUAGAUAGUGGUUUCGUUAUCCUCAAGUCACUCAAUAAACUCUUUCCUACUUUCGUUAGACUUCUAUCGGGUAGCUGCUUACACCUAC
rnacentral:lncRNA from 1 species